rnacentral:rRNA from 1 species
GACGGGGGGGGCAAGUGUUCUUCGGAAUUACUGGGCGUAAAGCGCACGUAGGCGGCUUUUUAAGUCAGGGGUGAAAUCCUGGAGCUCAACUCCAGAACUGCCUUUGAUACUGAGAAGCUUGAGUCCGGGAGAGGUGAGUGGAACUGCGAGUGUAGAGGUGAAAUUCGUAGAUAUUCGCAAGAACACCAGUGGCGAAGGCGGCUCACUGGCCCGGUACUGACGCUGAGGUGCGAAAGCGUGGGGAGCAAACAGG